ensembl:lncRNA
AGUCCGCCUAAUCCUCAUCAGAUUUACAGCAUUAUUAACAGUCACCAUGUUUGAGGAGGAGACACAGUCCUUUAAAGUGGUUUCAUAAGUUUUCUCUCUCCAGGGCAUGGAAGCAGACACUCCUGGUCGGUGGUAUUAGAAUUCAUCAUCACCUUCAAGAGACAGAAAAGGCUCUCGGAGGGAUCAAGACACUCAUUCAGGACUGUAAGUUGUGUUCAAGAGAUGCCGGAUCACAUUUAGAUGCCCAGUUGUGCAGCACAAAUCAAAUGUGAUGUACUCUCUAAAGAAAAUAUUCAUUUUAAUACACCGGCCUGAGUUUACUUCAUGUGCAACGUAUAUUACAUCGCAAGAAGUCGACAGCGUCAUGACACUAAUUCUGUUCCUAAAAAAAAAUAAAACAGAGGGGAAAAUGGAAAUAAAGGCUUCUAUUUUGAUUUAUAAAGAAAGUUAUGUUGAAAGACGGUGAUUUGUUGAUCAAUCGUUGCUGCUUUUAUGAAAUGUGCUUGCGCUGUAAUUUGACGAAACUGUUUCUUCUAUGAAUUUUAUAUUUGUUUGUUUUUUUUUUUCUCGCUCAAAUAUCAACUGAAUAACUGACAGUCAGAACAAUCUGCCGGCCGCAGUGUGAUAUACAGCAAAUGAAUGAAACAUCGCUGCCGUCUGGUUCGGAUUUGACUCAUACAUAAGCCAAUAGCUGUGAGCAUAACUUUAUCCAGCUUUAUCCAUUUAUCACACAAAUGCCCUGUGGGGCUGUUCCAUCAUAUAUUCCAACUCCUGCCAAGAUUGAGAAGCAGAAAGGGCUUCCUGUGGUAGAGAGCCAGCACUGGCACCGGCCUCCUGCCAGGGAGCAGUGCCCUAACGUCUCAGUGCUCUCCUCCCUGCUCAGCCUGUGCAUCCCAACAUGGACGGCUGCUGUUCAGGGGCCAACGCCUUCCUCCUCCACCGUCUCCUUCUGCAUUCGACUCCAUGUAGGGUGUUUUUUUUUUUCCCCCUUUAGAACUAGUUGGAUUAUUUUAAAUUAUUCACCGACAGGCUUUGAUACCGUCUCGGAAUGAGGCCUUGCGAUUUGGAACACUUAUAUUUCAGGCAUAAUCUAACAUGACUGAGAGGCUGAUGCUGCAUUAAAGUCAACUUAAAUGAGAUUAUUUUGACAAAGUGCAAACAUUAAAAUGGCUCAGAUGAAACUAUACAAGGCAGCAGUGGAUGAUUUGUCCACUAGUUGAGUGGACAAAUCAGUAAAGUACAUUUUUGCAUGCUGAAGUUCCCAUUUAUCAGUUAAAUUGCUGGCAUCUGGAACUGCUACCAUGCAAAAAAAAAAAAAAAUGUAAAAAAUAAAGCAGCCUGAGCUUCAGCUGAGCAAUUAUAAUUAACCAGAUUAUAAAUAAAUUGCUGCAAAUUGAAUUAUGUCACUAGUGAUUGGAUGCCAGCGUGUUCUGCUGUUAAUUAUUCAAACCAUGUCUGCUACUUUUCUUUUUUUUUUUACCCCCCACCAAUCAGAUGGAACCACUGUAAAGUUACUUCAAACAAUCAACGUUGUUUCAGGACGUGGCUGUCGGGAACCAGGUGUCUCAGCUGAUUGCUUGGCGGCGUUAGUUUCACCGAGAUACGCUUGAGCUGAGAUUCCAUUACAGUAAAACGCCGUUCAAACCAGCUGAAUGUUGUUUGGACAGUUUUCAAAGAGUGGGAGUUGUUAACAAGGAGGGAUUGCUUUGUUAUCGGGUUAAAUGCCAAAAAAAAAGUGGUUGAACAGUUGCAUUUCUAUCAAAUUAAGUAACUUUUCAUGUUUGGUUUACUAUAUGGGCUGUGCGUUGAGGUGAAAAUACUCUUAUUAUGAUCAAAAUUCUGAUCUGGAGCAUUAAUUUGUGCAGGACAAACCAAAUCAGCUAACAUGUCCUUGUCUGCCUAACUGGUGCUACUGACUAAUCAGUGAACACACCUGGUUUCUGUUAGCCUUUAGCAGGGUUUGAAAGCCACCUGAAAUCAAACCGAGCUCCGUCACUGCUGUAGUAGAGCUGCUCAGUCCUGAUAUAUGUGAAAGCUGAAUUACGUGAUGAUGGUUUAAUGGAUCGUUUCACCCAAAUUACUAGAAAAACGCCUAUCUCUUACCUGCAGGAGGUUUCUCAUUAGGCAGAUAGCUGUGGUUUUAUGUGCACACGUUUUUUCAGAUGCCUACCCCCGAGGCUUGUAGCCACCGCAGUGCAAUCAAGGUAACGGUGAUUUCAUUUGAGGUGCUUGAAACAUGAAAAAUUGCAAAUUCAAUAGGAGCCUUUUUCUUUUCAGAAACAAUGGCUUAAUUAUGGUGAGAAUUCCACACAGAUGUCUCUACAGUUUCAUGUGACCUUGGGUAAAAUAGUGGUUCAAUGGAAACUAUUAAUUCUGUAAUUUAGUUAUUGUGACUGUUGCUUUGUACAAGGGUGUGACUGAUUAGCGUCCCGGCCAAUAAUCAGAUGGGAUAUUCAGCAUUUUUGCAAUGAUUGGAAUGAUUUACUUUUUACUAAAAUAGUGGAUUAAUUAAGCUCUAAUGCAGUGUAGUCUUGAGGAUUUGAUCGGUUGUUGAAUCAAACUGAACUGAACUCAUCUGUCAGAAAUGAGAGUUAAAUAUUGAUAAAUGCUCUUUUAAUGAGACAUAUGCAAUAUAUAAAUGAGGAACAAAGGUUAUUCCAGAAAAAUUACGUGAUGGAAUUUGCAUUAUUCUAAAUUGUGUCGCAGAAAAUUUUCAUUUUCUUGUACAUGCAUACAAGUUAAAUAAUAUUGUUCUCCUUGAUUGCUAAUAAUCAAUACUGCUUAAACCCUGCUUUAAACACAACCAAUAAAUGAUUGAUGUGCAUCAAGCCUUGCCUCCUAAAGUGAUGAAGAAUAUUUUCUUGUGUGAUUUGGGUGAACUGACCUUUUAAACUGAAGAUUUCUAAAAAAUAUAUAUAAAGGGAAAGUCACUUUCAUGACCACGUCAGUCAAUCUUAGCAGCACUGCCUGAAAAAAUCCAUAAAAUAAAAAUAAAAGACUGUCCUGCAGCUCAUUCAAAAAUCAGUGUCUGGUGAAUGAUGACAGUGUGUAAUAUUUAGCACUAUUUUUGUAUCCAGACACAUGUUUAAAGGAAAUGGCUUUGCUACAUGUUUAUCUUUUUAUUUUUAUUUAAUUUUUUUGCUGGUAGCCUGUUAUUUAAUGAACCGUACGGUGAUGUGUCAAAUAUUUUGCAAAAAAAAAUUACACACACACAAAAAAAAAACUCACUGCUUUUAACUGUCGUAUUUUAUCUGGGUCACUUUAGAACAUUUCUGGCUCAACACUGGCUUUUCGUUCGCCCUGUAAAUAGUCUUGUUUAUUUCCAGUAGGCUAGAAAGAUGAAUUUUGUUAAGUUUGGAAAAUAACACUCAAAACAAUAUACUGGCAGUUUGUCGGAAUCAUUGCAGGUUUAAACCAGAAUCGUUGGACUUGUAGAGACGUGUAACUGACAACUGUUGUAUAGAAAUGUACAUUUUUUUGUAAAGAUAUUUUUAUCAAAAGGCAUGUUUACUGUAACUUUGUAUUUUCAGUUUAUGUACAAAAAAACCCAGUAUAUUCCAACUGUUGUAAGGCUAGAAAACUCAUUGUCAUUGUAGAUAACUAUUUGUGUUCUUAUCCGUCAAUAAAAAUGUUUGUGUCAUAUAUUGAACUCGACAACUGUUUCAAUGAGCGACGCUUUAUUUUACAAAUAAA